GUCUUAAUCCAGCUGAUGUUGCAGAAGCAAUGAUCAGCGCAGUAGUUGAAUUUGCAAGCAAAAAAACUGAUCAUGUCAAAAAUGUGGAGUUCCUUAUAUUCCAAUCAAGUAUGUUGGCUGACUUUCAUCAAAGCAUGCUAAAAAUCACCAAGUCAAAGAAAAGCUUGAGCAGCAGAAUUAAAGGUGAAAACAUUGUGUUUAAAGAAAUCCAGCCUGCUGUGUUUCAGCUAUGUAGUGAGACAACAGAGUGUUUGAGUAAGGCCAGUACCAUCAUCAACGACAUGAUUAACAAGAAGCAAAUGAAUUAAACAAUCCGUGAUCCAGCCAUUGCUCGUUUCAGCAAAAAGGAAUUAAAAAUGCUAAAGAAAAUGAAAAAGGAGCUCAAAGUAAAUGUCAUAAUUGAGAAGAAAGAACAAGACUCCUUCAUCACUGUAAAGGGCCUGACAUCAUUUGUUUACACUGCAGAAAGUCGCAUUCCGGACAUUAUCCGCAAAGUGGAAAAGAUUGAAAACCGAAAAAGGGUGGCAAUAUUGAACAGCAGCACAGUUGAGUGGCAAUAAUGAAGUGGUCGUAAAUGUAAACCAUUUGAUCCUUACACCAACUGCGACUUGGAAGAAGCCUUCAACCUCCAAAAUACUUCUGUGCUAAUCAAGAUUAACAGUGAAGUGUAUAAUGUAGACAUAGUUUGCAAAAAGGCAACAAGAGGAGGAAAACAAGUUGAAAUAUAGCUGCAAGCAGCAAUUACGGGGCCAAGCACUCCAGCGGAAAGUUGAGGAGCUAAACAUGGCAUGGAGGAUCACAUGAAGUGCAUCAAUGAGCAAUUAAACCAAUUUUAGGAUGAUUGUAAUUGAAAUGGCUAAAAUAAUCAUACAUACAACCACUUGUAAUAAGAUUAAAUGGCCUAUCACUUUUGACCAA